rnacentral:rRNA from 1 species
UGGGGAAUUUUGCACAAUGGGGGAAACCCUGAUGCAGCGACGCCGCGUGAUUUAGAAGGCCUUCGGGUUGUAAAAAUCUUUUCUAUGGGAAGAAAAUGACAGUACCAUAGGAAUAAGGACCGGCUAAUUACGUGCCAGCAGCCGCGGUGAUACGUAAGGUCCGAGCGUUGUCCGGAAUCAUUGGGCGUAAAGGGUACGUAGGCGGGUAAGCAAGUUAGAAGUGAAAUCCUAUAGCUCAACUAUAGUAAGCUUUUAAAACUGCUCAUCUUGAGGUAUGGAAGGGAAAGUGGAAUUCCUAGUGUAGCGGUGAAAUGCGCAGAUAUUAGGAGGAAUACCGGUGGCGAAGGCGACUUUCUGGCCAUAACCUGACGCUGAGGUACGAAAGCGUGGGUAGCAAACAGG